CGCGGCCUAUCAGCUUGUUGGUGGGGUAGUGGCCUACCAAGGCGACGACGGGUAGCCGGCCUGAGAGGGCGACCGGCCACACUGGGACUGAGACACGGCCCAGACUCCUACGGGAGGCAGCAGUGGGGAAUAUUGCGCAAUGGGCGAAAGCCUGACGCAGCGACGCCGCGUGAGGGAUGACGGCCUUCGGGUUGUAAACCUCUUUCAGCAGGGACGAAGCGCAAGUGACGGUACCUGCAGAAGAAGCACCGGCUAACUACGUGCCAGCAGCCGCGGUAAUACGUAGGGUGCGAGCGUUGUCCGGAAUUAUUGGGCGUAAAGAGCUCGUAGGCGGUUUGUCGCGUCGACUGUGAAAACCUACAGCUUAACUGUGGGCUUGCAGUCGAUACGGGCAGACUUGAGUUCGGUAGGGGAGACUGGAAUUCCUGGUGUAGCGGUGAAAUGCGCAGAUAUCAGGAGGAACACCGGUGGCGAAGGCGGGUCUCUGGGCCGAUACUGACGCUGAGGAGCGAAAGCGUGGGGAGCGAACAGGAUUAGAUACCCUGGUAGUCCACGCCGUAAACGGUGGGAACUAGGUGUGGGGGACUUCCACGUCCUCCGUGCCGUAGCUAACGCAUUAAGUUCCCCGCCUGGGGAGUAC
rnacentral:rRNA from 1 species